rnacentral:rRNA from 1 species
GAAACUGGGUCUAAUACCGGAUAGGAGCGUCUACCGCAUGGUGGGUGUUGGAAAGAUUUAUCGGUUUUGGAUGGACUCGCGGCCUAUCAGCUUGUUGGUGAGGUAAUGGCUCACCAAGGCGACGACGGGUAGCCGGCCUGAGAGGGUGACCGGCCACACUGGGACUGAGACACGGCCCAGACUCCUACGGGAGGCAGCAGUGGGGAAUAUUGCACAAUGGGCGAAAGCCUGAUGCAGCGACGCCGCGUGAGGGAUGACGGCCUUCGGGUUGUAAACCUCUUUCAGUAGGGAAGAAGCGAAAGUGACGGUACCUGCAGAAGAAGCACCGGCUAACUACGUGCCAGCAGCCGCGGUAAUACGUAGGGUGCGAGCGUUAUCCGGAAUUAUUGGGCGUAAAGAGCUCGUAGGCGGUUUGUCGCGUCUGUCGUGAAAGUCCGGGGCUUAACCCCGGAUCUGCGGUGGGUACGGGCAGACUAGAGUGCAGUAGGGGAGACUGGAAUUCCUGGUGUAGCGGUGGAAUGCGCAGAUAUCAGGAGGAACACCGAUGGCGAAGGCAGGUCUCUGGGCUGUAACUGACGCUGAGGAGCGAAAGCAUGGGGAGCGAACAGGAUUAGAUACCCUGGUAGUCCAUGCCGUAAACGUUGGGCACUAGGUGUGGGGACCAUUCCACGGUUUCCGCGCCGCAGCUAACGCAUUAAGUGCCCCGCCUGGGGAGUACGGCCGCAAGGCUAAAACUCAAAGGAAUUGACGGGGGCCCGCACAAGCGGCGGAGCAUGCGGAUUAAUUCGAUGCAACGCGAAGAACCUUACCAAGGCUUGACAUGUUCUCGAUCGCCGUAGAGAUACGGUUUCCCCUUUGGGGCGGGUUCACAGGUGGUGCAUG